rnacentral:tRNA from 1 species
GGGGGUAUAGCUUAGUGGUGAAGCAUUCGAUUGCAGAUCGAGAGGUCCCCGGUUCGAACCCGGGUGCCCCCU